rnacentral:rRNA from 1 species
UACGUAGGUGGCGAGCGUUAUCCGGAUUUAUUGGGCGUAAAGGGUGCGCAGACGGUUUAUUAAGUCUAAAAUCAAAUCUUGGGGCUCAACCCCAUUCCGUUUUAGAAACUGGUAGACUUGAGUAUGGUAGAGGCAAAUGGAAUUCCUAGUGUAGCGGUGGAAUGCGUAGAUAUUAGGAGGAACACCAGUGGCGAAGGCGAUUUGCUGGGCCAUUACUGACGUUCAUGCACGAAAGCGUGGGGAGCAAAUAGG